rnacentral:rRNA from 1 species
UGGGGAAUAUUGCACAAUGGGCGCAAGCCUGAUGCAGCCAUGCCGCGUGUAUGAAGAAUGCCUUUGGGUUGUAAAGUACUUUCAGUCGGGAGGAAGGUGUCAAGGUUAAUAACCUUGGCAAUUGACGUUACCGACAGAAGAAGCACCGGCUAACCCCGUGUCAGCAGCCGCGGUAAUACGGAGGGUGCAAGUGUUAAUCGGAAUUACUGGGCGUAAAGCGCACGCAGGCGGUUGAUUGAGUCAGAUGUGAAAUCCCCGGGCUUAACCCGGGAAUUGCAUCUGAUACUGGUCAGCUAGAGUCUUGUAGAGGGGGGUAGAAUUCCAUGUGUAGCGGUGAAAUGCGUAGGGAUGUGGAGGAAUACCGGUGGCGAAGGCGGCCCCCUGGACAAAGACUGACGCUCAGAUGCGAAAGCGUGGGGAGCAAACGGG